rnacentral:rRNA from 1 species
AAGUCUAAGGAGAACGUUUUCUUCGGAAAACAAGUAAACUGGCGAACGGGUGAGUAACGCGUAGGCAACCUGCCCUUUAGACUGGGAUAACAUCGUGAAAAUGGUGCUAAUACCGGAUAAAAUCAUAUGUCAUCAGGCACUAUGAUUAAAGGUGGCUUCGGCUACUACUAUUGGAUGGGCCUGCGUCUGAUUAGCUUGUUGGUAAGGUAAUGGCUUACCAAGGCAACGAUCAGUAGCUGGUUCGAGAGGAUGAUCAGCCACACCGGGACUGAGACACGGCCCGGACUCCUACGGGAGGCAGCAGUGGGGAAUAUUGCGCAAUGGGCGAAAGCCUGACGCAGCCAUGCCGCGUGUGUGAAGAAGGCCUUCGGGUUGUAAAGCACUUUCAAUUGGGAGGAAAGGUUCACGACUAAUACUCGUGAGCUGUGACGUUACCUUUAGAAGAAGCACCGGCUAACUCCGUGCCAGCAGCCGCGGUAAUACGGAGGGUGCGAGCGUUAAUCGGAAUUACUGGGCGUAAAGCGCGCGUAGGUGGUCUGUUAAGUCGGAUGUGAAAGCCCCGGGCUCAACCUGGGAACUGCACCCGAUACUGGCAGACUAGAGUGCGGGAGAGGGAGGUAGAAUUCCACGUGUAGCGGUGAAAUGCGUAGAUAUGUGGAGGAAUACCAGUGGCGAAGGCGGCCUCCUGGCUCGACACUGACACUGAGGUG